UUCUGACACUGCGCACGCUGCAGCAUGCUGGGAGCUAUAGCAUACCAGCAGCGCGUUGGGUGUUCAUGGAAACAUUACAAACUCGAAUGCCUCAAUGCUGAAGCUUUGAGCCGAAUUCGUCUUGAACGCUGCACCAGCGCUCUGCAGUGCACGCACCAUCCAGACCGUGAAACAGGGCUCUGGUCGUAGAUGUUGAUUUCUUUGUAACUGGUAACGGAAGCAUCAAGCAUGAUGAGCAGCACCAUGAAGAGCUUGUUUCUGAUGGUGGUUCUGGAGACAGCGGGUCGAUCCAGCUGUAGGACGUCAAUGUCAUCUGGAGGUGGAAGAGUGUGAUGGCCAGCCACGCGGCGCGCGUAUCGACAUUGACCAGAAACCAUCACAUCAUCUCCAGGUCACUGGUCGCGGGCGCUCGAGCUGACGGUGUCUUCCGACGGCUCCACGGUGACCAGCGCCGCCACCGCCGAGACCAUCCGACUCCUGAAAUGAUAAUGGCCGUACACGAACAAGAGGCUCUAAGCAUCCAGGUGCAAGCAAGCGCCAUGCUCAGAGGCGUCAUCCGAAGAAGGUCGCACAGGGCACUUAAGGCUGAGCUUGGGUGUAGUGCGCGCUGACGGAUAGGAUGAAAUGACGGCCAUCAUCUUUCAGUGCGGAGAUCAAGAUGGUCGGAGCCGACGUGGCUCCGUUGAUGGUGCGCCGGGGUUGAUUGAGAGUGG